UACGGGGGGGGGCAAGCGUUGUUCGGAAUUACUGGGCGUAAAGCGCGCGUAGGCGGCUUUCAGUUCAGACGUGAAAGCCCCAGGCUUAACCUGGGAAUUGCGUUUGAUACUGUUAAGCUAGAGUGUGGAAGGGGCUACUGGAAUUCCGUGUGUAGCGGUGAAAUGCGUAGAUAUAACGGAGGAACACCAGCGGCGAAGGCGGGUAGCUGGGCCAACACGUGACGCUGGAGGCGACGAAAGCUAGGGUAGCAAACGGGA
rnacentral:rRNA from 1 species